rnacentral:rRNA from 1 species
AUGGCACUACGCGUGCUCUUCUUGAUUCUGGCGCUCCUCGCAGCUGCCCGUGCCUCCUCUCCUGCCGCGAGCCCCGACGCUGCGUCGCUGCUCGCCUUCAAAUCGGCCUGCGCUGGAGCCGGGCGUGGCACUGCCACCGCCGCGCUCGAUUCCUGGACGGAGUCCAUUGACCCCUGCUCCGGCGAGUGGCGCGGCGUCACUUGCCAGCGGUCGUCCUCCUCCUCCGCCACUUCCCGCGUCCGUCGUGUUGUUCUCGAGGGCGUCGGCCUUGCUGGGGAUGCCGGCGCCAUCGCGGCGCUCGCGGAUGUCCCUUCGCUUUCGUUCCUUAGCCUCAAGAACAACACCUUCACGGGAUCGCUCCGUGACGUCGACUUCUCCCCCUUGGCGCCGCACCUCAAGCUCCUUUACCUCUCCGGAAAUGGCUUCUCCGGGCGGUUCCCUGAGUCCAUCCUACGACUUCGCCAUCUGCGCCGCCUAGACCUCUCCGGCAAUCGACUUGCUGGCACCAUUCCGCCGGAGAUCGGCCAUCGCCUCCGCGCGCUCGUGACACUGCAUCUGGCACGCAAUUCGUUCGUCGGGAGCGUGCCCAGCUCUCUGGACUCGAUGCCAAAGCUAGCUGAGUUCAACGUCUCCGGUAACAAGCUCAGCGGGAAGAUUCCAAACCACCUCGCCGCGGCCUUCCCGGCGUCAUCGUUUCUGGGCAACCCCAAGCUCUGCGGUGCCCCGCUGCGCCGCCGGUGCGACGGACAGCGGCAGAGAGCGCACACCGACGCUGAUGGCGAAACACCGCACGGACAGGGGAGAAGGAGUUCCCACGACCGGUGGAUGGUGGUGAUGAUCAUGGCGGCGGUGGGCGCAGCUGUGGCCACGCUGAUCGCCGCGGCACUGUGCGCCGUUCUGUGCUUGAAGAACAAGAAGUCGACGCGGCCGCGCGCCAACUCGCGCACCAGCUCGAUGUCGACGUCGCGGGAGGAGACGGUGCGCUUCGACGGGUGCUGCGAGGAGUUCGACGUGAGGGCGCUCAUGAUGGGAGCCGCGGAGAUGCUGGGCAAAGGCGCCGCCGCGACGACGUACCGCGUGGUCAUGGGAGGCCAGCACGACGUGGGCGACGCCGGCGCCGAGGAGACCAAGGGCGACGAGGUGGUGGUGAAGAGGCUGAGGAGGAGGGAAGGCGCGACCCGGGAGGACGAGGGCCGGAGGAGGGAACUGGCGAGGGAGAUGGGCUCGUGGCGGCACGCCAACAUCGUCGACCUGCGCGCGUUCUAUGCGUCGGAGGAGGAGCUUCUCCUCGUCUUCGACUACAUCCCCAACGGCAGCCUCCACAGCCUCUUGCAUGAGAACAGGGGACCGGCACGAGCCCCUCUGGACUGGCAGACGAGGCUGAGGCUGGCGCAGGACGCGGCGCAGGGCCUCGCCUACCUCCACGGCGUGUCCGGCUCCAGGCUCGCCCACCGCCACCUCACCUCCUCCAACAUCCUCAUCGACGCCGGCGGCAGCGCGCGCGUGUCCGACUUCGCCCUGCUCCAGCUGCUCGUGCCGGCGCCACCGCCAGAAAAGGCCCUGCAGAAGCAGGACGUGCGCGACUUCGGGGUCAUCCUGCUGGAGCUACUCACGGGCCGGUCGCCGGAGGACGGCAAGGUGGACAUUCCGCGGUGGGUGCGGACGGUGGUGCGGGAGGAGUGGACCUCCGAGGUGUUCGACGUGGAGCUGCUGCGGACCAGGGGCGCGGAGGACGAGAUGGUGGCGCUCCUCCAGGUGGCCCUGCUCUGUGCCGCCGACGACCCGAGGGAGCGGCCGAGGAUGGCUGUGGUGUCCAAGAUGAUCGAGGACAUCAGGGACAGGGGGAGCAAGAGGAGCAAGUGCUCAGCUUCUCCAUCGCAAGCUGGGUGUUCCUACGACUCGUCUCCUUGCGCGUCAGAGGGCACUACCAAGUCUACCACCGCCUCAAGCUCUUGA